GGUCCGCCAGAACGCGCUCGACGGUGAGGGAUGAAAGCUGGGGGAGCGAACCGGAUUAGAUACCCGGGUAGUCCCAGCUGUAAACGAUGCAAGCUAGGUGAUGGAGUGGCUACGUGCCAUUCCAGUGCCGCAGGGAAGCCGUUAAGCUUGCCGCCUGGGGAGUAC
rnacentral:rRNA from 1 species